rnacentral:lncRNA from 1 species
UGAGCCUUUAAAGUAUAUUUGCAGGGUCGGUGGAACACAGGGCAAGGGGAGAUAGCUGAGCUAAGGGCUUUGGCUGUCUGUCUGUCACCUACGGAGAGUCCGGGUGGGUACCCGUCUACUCACAUGCUGGUCUCUGAGGGGUACGUUGCAAUAGCUCAGUGGGUAUUAGUUUUAUUUCAGGGACUCGUUUUGUAGAAUCUACCCCCUGUUCCUUCGAAGUGUGCCACCUUGCUUCCUCAGGGUCGGGCACCUUCUGUGAGCAGCGGGGGAUCCAGGAGCCCAGAAGGCAGCUGUUUCACCUGUACUGAUGCUGGAUGGCAGGUCUGCCCUGGUUGGCUCUUGUGCAUCCUUCCAGGUACCUGAGCCGGGCUGACAUCAUAGAAAGAUCCAACCUUUUAAGCAUACCUACAUUUACCUGCAGUGGCAAUCGUUUUGCAUUUUAAUGACAAAUCAAGUACGCUAACUUGCAUUUGAAACGAAAGUGCCUUAAAUGUCUCUGGCUGUCAGAAUGAGAUGUUAGGAGCUUGAUGAAAAGCGAACAAAGAAGACAAAGUAUGAAGCCUGGAUACAGUGCAAAAUGAAAUAAAACCUUGUAUGGCCUGUCAGGGGUGUCAGUUGAUAUUCAUAUCUAAAGCGCAUUAUAGCAUUACUUUGCAGCUCAGCGCUUACUCAUGUGUCUUUUUUAAUUCAUCACAUUCGAGCC